UACGGAGGGUGCAAGCGUUAUCCGGAUUCACUGGGCUUAAAGGGUGCGUAGGUGGACAGGUAAGUCAGUGGUGAAAUCCCCGAGCUUAACUCGGGAACUGCCGUUGAUACUAUCUGUCUUGAAUAUCGCGGAGGUAAGCGGAAUAUGUCAUGUAGCGGUGAAAUGCUUAGAUAUGACAUAGAACACCGAUUGCGAAGGCAGCUUACUACACGAUCAUUGACACUGAGGCACGAAAGCGUGGGGAGCAAACAGG
rnacentral:rRNA from 1 species